ensembl:lncRNA
GUGCCGUUUGGCGGUCAGUGUAGCAGUCUGUCAUCACGAUGGAGGCAUUAAGCAAUCCCAGGGAGCAAAAUUUAGAAAUAGAAAGUGCUGUAAGGAAUCUGCUUAGCUGCAUCCGAAGGCAUAGCAGCCCUCAAGCACAUGAAAAUCCCAACAGUUCUCCCACCGUGGCACCUCAGCCUGGUACUAGUGCUUCCUUUGGGGUUGGCCAGACUGUUAGUAGGCCAAACACAGUUCAGCAAGAAAUGCAAAGAGCUUUUCCAGCACUUUACCAUGGAAGCCGUAAACGAAUGAAAAAAAUGGCACCUGAACCUGCAAAACUUACAUCUGUAAAGUUCUUAGAAUUCCAGUUCUGCUUGCUGUCCAAAAACUCCCAAAAGACUCCCAAAGAUGAAACAGUUCUCUUACAAGCAGGGCUAGGCAGAAGAACUGUAAAUAUUCCAGACAAUGCUGAUCAUACUGAGAUAACCAAAGUACUUCUUCAGGAGUACCCAAAGUUGCAAAACUUAAGGGGUGGUUGGCUGCCCCAAAAAGCCUCAGGUAAGUUUAUGAUACCAAAUGCAUUUACAUAUUUUUUUAUCCUUUUACCAACAUUGUUAUUGUUUUUCACAUGUCUAUUUAAAAGGGGACAGUGGGCAAAUGAAAACAACAUCUCUGGCCCAGGAUUCCCACGGCUACACAGCAAAAAUAUUGAAGACGUCCUCUAA